rnacentral:lncRNA from 1 species
AAAUAAUGCAUAUAUGGAGGUAGGAAUCCAUCAGUUUAGUUCAGCCCAUUUGUCUUAAUGAAAGCACAAGGUAUUACCACCGAGAAAGGAAGAUUAAUUCAAAAGCAUAAAUUAAGGAGCUUACAGCAGUGGGAAACAAACUCAUAGCCAUGCAUGUAAGCAUGUUGACAUCACUACAUAUUUUACUCCUGUAUAAUAACACCACUCAGCUGUCCGAAAUCACGUAAUAGUCCGUACUGAGAACGUUAACAAAUUGACCAGCAACUGCAGCAUCUCCUAUCGUACUUCUUCUGCAGAUUUUGCAGUUUCUG